UUAACUCAGAUUUGUAUGGAGUUGGAACGUUUGCGUACGUUUGCCGCUAGGGGCGCUGUUCCAACUGCAUACAAAUUUGAGUGC
rnacentral:pre_miRNA from 1 species